AAUAUAUGAAAAUAUAGAGAAGAAAAAAAGUGAAAAAAAAUGAAAAAACACCCAUAUAUACAUAUGCCUCUUAUAUCUCUCUGUUUUAAAUUUAUAUUUGAGCAAAUUACACAUGUAGUUUCUAAAUUUUUCUUUUUGUAUCAUUUUAGUCUAUAUAUUUUCAAUUAACUCAAUUUUAACUCUUAGUUUUAAAUUUUGUUUCAAUUUGGUCUAAUUGAUAACGUUGUUAUGUUAGUGUUUUUGAGUGAAAAAGUGUCAUUGGUUCUAUGAUUAGGAAGUAUGAUCACCUAGUUUAGGCAGCUACCUAUGUGUAGAUCACAAUUUGGGAGAAAGAUGAUGGGCUAAGGGGUUCUAGAUAGAGGGGACCAAAGACUCAUGUUGUGUGAUGACCGGUUCGUAUUUAAUCUUAUUCUCUAGAGUUGUGUCGAUAUUGCCUUCGUUCGAAGUCGGGUUUCGAGUGUAGUCCUGCCGUCAGUGGUGUUCGUUGUUCCUGAGAAUUAUUUCUAUAGAUAUUUUCAGUUGCAUUGUUUCAUUUCUGAAUUUGUGCGUGUCUCGAAGGGUGCGAGGUCGACUCCAGAGUGCCGAGGAGGAAGCCGAAGUUUUUCCGGGCAAGAGGGCCAGGGCCGCACGUGCAGGAGGUCAAGCCGCACGUGUGGGAAACAGGGCAGUAGGCUGGGUGCACACUCCUAAAAAGGCAGGUGCGCGAGGUGGUGCGGGGAAGGACCGUACGUGCGCAAGUGAGAGUUGCACGUGCGGGAGGGGCCGCUCCGCACGUGCGGGGAGGUACGCCGCACGUGCAACAGAGCGUGUUUUUACUCCGAAUUUCGUGCUUUCAGCUAUAUUUUUGUUAUUUUGUCCCUUUUGCCUUCAUUUUCAAAUUAUAUCACUCUCUCUCUCUACAAUAUUUUCUCUCAUUUCCUCUCAUCUCUCUCUAUCCAAACCCACAAAACAUUAUACCUUCUUUGAUCUCAAGAAAUCCUUAGAGAUUUUGAUGCUAGUCCCUUAUACCAAAAUGAUGAGUGUGUCGAGGGCUUCGUCUUGACUGGUGGAGAUCGUAUUUCGGCGACGUCGAUUUUGGGCUCUUUCUCCUCUUCUCUCUUAAGGUACAGGAAGCAUGCCACCUCCAAGGACAUAGCUUGAGAGGCUAGAGGCAGGCAGACGUUGUGGUUGUGUUAUCUUUUGUUUUAUUACAUGUAAUUUCAAGCCAAAGGCUUAAUGUGUAUUUGAGUUAGUACUCUAUUCCUUGUAACCAAGUGUUAACUUGGAAAACUGUAAGCCCGUAGGGCAUUUGCUUUCGUUGUUAACAUGUAAUGCUUUGUAAAGAAUUAUUCUGAUGAAUAGAAUGAUGUUUAUAUCUUAUAUCAA